rnacentral:rRNA from 1 species
ACCUUCGGACAACCUGGUCCGUCUUUAAAUCACCCGAUCGGGGAAAUUGGGUGGCCCUGGGGUGGAAUGGGAUAAUCGGGCGGUGCUAUCGAAGACCACGUUCCUCCCGCCGCGGCGUCGAAUGAGGGUGGCGGCAGCGGCUAGCUACCGUCGGCGGUGACGUGCUGACGGAGAAGGAGGAAUCUGGGGCGGAGAAGGUAGAGCGUGCAUCGGGGAGGGUCCAACCUGUCUCCUCCGCGACGUCGCGUGCGCGUGAGAACGGCAGCGGCGAACUACCGGCUGUGGCGGCGUAGUGGCGGGGGAGGGAACGUCGAAGAACGGUAGGGUUAGUUGUGAGCAGUUAGAGGAGCUGGGGCCGGCCUGCCCUACCAGUCCAGCGGCCGUUGGGGGUGGGCCUGGGGGUCCAGUGGCUGACGGGGUUUGGGCUGGAGGUCGAGCCGUCGACGGGUUUGGGCUAGAGGUCGAGUCGCCGGCGGGGUUUGGUCUGGGGGUCGAGCUGCCGAUGUCUAGAACUCCUCGUGUUCCCAUAACCAUUCGAGAACAUACGGUAUUUUUAACUCUUCCGAUUACCGGGUCUAGAACUCCUCGUGUUCCGACGAUCACUCGAGGUACACCUUGGUGGUUUCACGUUCUUUUCCUUCGCUUCAUCCGUCUCAUCGCCGCUCGAAGUACGUCUUGUGGUUCUUUGUUUGUUUCAGCAGUACUUCAGUAGCUGCAGGUUCUUUUUCUCCUUCCGUUCACUUCCUUACACGUGAUUAGGUAGUCGUGGCAACGAACCUGGAAACCGGCAACUGUACCUAUUCGUCCGUGGUGGUAAUUUUUUCUUUUCCGAAUUAUUCUCUCUACAACGUUGAUGUGGUAGUGAACUUCGAAACGAGCAACUGUUCCUAUUCUUCGGUAGCGGAUCUAGAAGAGGGCAACUGUUCUUAUUCGUCAGUAGUGAUACGUUUUUCCACCGUUCUAGAGGUCAAGAAUUGUUGCACCAUCACAGUAAGAAUCGGUCUUCCCCUUUUUCCUGUUCAGUGAUAGGGGCAGUGUUGGAAGUGACGACCGAAACAGUGGGUUUCAUCGUUUGGAACCAAGUACGUCUGGUACUUUUAAUUUUGGUUUUUAAACCUUGCUCCGUCUCGGUUAGAUACAACUACCUUUCGAACAUCUUCCAGCAACAUGAAUGACGUUGGUUGAUAAAGGAUGGAGUUUUUUCAGUCCCUGUUCUGUAUAGCCAUUUGUAAACAACGAUACACUCCUCUCUAGAUUUUACCUACCAUACCAACGGUUCUAUGUUUGACUAUCACGUUAACUAGGUAUCACCUUCAAACUGGUUCCCACACGUGCAUCUCGUGACUGUUUCAACUAACACGAUGUACUUAAUGGAAAGUGAAAACAACUUAUAGGACCGAAAUCCAGAAAACAAUUCUGUAACUUAGGUACCAAGUCGCACCAUACAUCUCUUUGUUAAUUUCUUCUAACGUAACUACGUAUACUAUUUGUGUUUUUUCUUUAAGUUCGUGAAAAAUCGUUACAUUCAAGAGCUCAUAGUAAUUGCCCACUGUACACCUGUAGAUUAGUCUUCGACCCAAUAAAUACGUAUUGACGGGUGAAAUAACUACCGAGUACCUGAGAUUUUUUUGUCUUAUUAGUGUAAAACGGAGAACCUUUGAGGUGUGUUGCGAGUAUUGUACAAACUGUACCAUGUUUUCUCGAACUCUCUAACCUUUUAACUUCUGUUUUAGAAAUCGAAAUGGGACCUGUUACGUGGUCAAUUAUGGAGCUACCAACCGGUGAACUCUUAAAAAAACCAUCUAUCCAUAGAACACGUAGUAUCACCUUUUAAUAACGAACAAUCUACACUACGUGUACAUGACUUAGAUCACCACGUUCUACCCGAGCUGCGUUACCGCAGUCAACAACUAUCUUAGUCUCUUAGUCACGACAUACAGUUCUCAAGCGUUCCGUCUUACCUCUUUAAGUUACGCUACUAACGUGCCCACCCUGAACGAACAUUUUUGGUAGGAAGCGAUCUUCACGGAUGGGCUACCUUAAGUUGAAUAUUACGAACUUAGUAGUAACGGCAAGUCUCUUCGCAAGCUUCGGAACUUUCUUUGACUGUUUCUAAUAUUUAAACGAGGAAGCCGAUCACUUACCCUCUACCAACUCCGAUAAACGGUAGAAAACCCGCGAAAAAUGUGUCGGUGUCUCUUUUAGAGCUCAUCCUGUAUAGGGUGGAGAGUGGACAUGAAGAUACUCCAGACCUUACACUUCGUCUAUUACCUCUUUCUUCAGUAUUCACUUUUAGGAUGGUAACAACGGUACCACUUUCUAUUCCUCUUCUUUACCUACCUUAUAAAACUCCUCAACAAGAAUUGUUCAACAGAUGGCCACUAUAAACUAGGCUCCAUGUUUAUACUUAUACAAGUGAAGACUGACUGGCGUCGAAAACCACCACCGCGGCUCUUUAUAGAAUGGUUCCACUUAUCACGCUACUUCUAGGAUAAACGACUUAUACGUAGACUUAUACUUUUGUGAAGACUACUUCCACUACUCCAACAUCUCCUCCUACCACUCGCGUGAGAGCUACUGACCUUAUUCGUAAACUCUAACUUUUCUAGGGUGUUGAGUUUACUCGAUGUUGCUAUAGAACUCCUUCUGAACAAAGGAGCGGUUGUCUUUAACCUAUAGAAUUUCACCACCCUCUAAGUGAGGGGUUUCAUAGGUCACGAACGCCGAUAUCGUGCCCUGUAUAACCGUUACAGACGCAGAUGUCACGGACGUCUCCGACGUAAAUCGUUACGACCUGCCUAGUAGUGACGAGUUUCUUCAUCAAACUGGGGCUCAUGACAACUCUGCGACUACACGGAGCUCCUAACCAAAGCUCGUCGACUAGUGGUUUUCUACCUUGGUUGUCAACCUCUGGUACCACCACUCGUUCUGCUACGACCUUGGUGGAUUCCAUUAAGACGAUCAACAUGAAACGUGAAAACAAGGAAGUGGUUUUUAUGAUAGAAGUGGUGUAGACUGACCCACUGACGGUCGAAGCGCAAACUGGACUGUCGUCCCGCGAGUACAAGAACAAGAUCCGUUUAGUAUAACAAGUCUGUAAUAACUAAUACUUUGACUAUAGUAACGUAAAUCACCGUGUAACAAAUACCCCAGUGUUGAUUAACGUUGGACCUCCUUACGUACGUUCUGCCACCACCAAAGUUAAACAUCGUGCUUGUUCAUGACGGUUAAAAAAAUUUUACAAAUAAAGUCACAAUUCCUUGUCUAAUAACACGUAAGCCACCACGUAACAGGUACCGGAAAACGUUCGACCUCUGUAUUUUCUCGUUCAUUUGUCACUCGAUAUACUACUAUAUUAAGAUCACUACGACCUUACUUUAUGAGAGAAACUACGGGUCUGGACAAAUCACUAUCGUUACCUCUCCACAUUCGUGUAAGUAUGAUAUUAGUUUAUAUAAUACAUAGACGAUAAAUUUAUUUCUAGAGUCGAAUGUUAACAGAGUACUCACGUUCAUUAAUGGUUAUUCGUAAGAAACAACGAAGUCCUCUUCUUCUUUCAACAGUUGAAGUACGUGAGUACCGUUUUCUUCUUUUUCAACAGGUACCUGACUUUUAAACAAGAUACUUCGGACUGAACCGCCGGUUGCAUAGGAGCAGCGUACAGAUGAACUAGUCAUCAGUGACUUCCAAAUCACCUAAGUAGGUAUAUACAUUGACUUCCAAAUCACGUAAGCUAGCUAAGUAAGCAUAGACAUUGACUUCCAAAACAUCUAGACUAGCUAAGUAGACAAAUACAUUGGUUUCCAAAUCAUAUAAGGAAGGUAUGGUACAACGACGAGUUAAUACGUAUGUUCCAAACGAGCCA